AACGCUGGCGGCGUGCCUAAUACAUGCAAGUCGAACGAACUUCCGUUAAUUGAUUAUGACGUGCUUGCACUGAAUGAGAUUUUAACACGAAGUGAGUGGCGGACGGGUGAGUAACACGUGGGUAACCUGCCCAGAAGCAGGGGAUAACACCUGGAAACAGAUGCUAAUACCGUAUAACAGAGAAAACCGCCUGGUUUUCUUUUAAAAGAUGGCUCUGCUAUCACUUCUGGAUGGACCCGCGGCGCAUUAGCUAGUUGGUGAGGUAACGGCUCACCAAGGCGAUGAUGCGUAGCCGACCUGAGAGGGUAAUCGGCCACAUUGGGACUGAGACACGGCCCAGACUCCUACGGGAGGCAGCAGUAGGGAAUCUUCCACAAUGGACGCAAGUCUGAUGGAGCAACGCCGCGUGAGUGAAGAAGGGUUUCGGCUCGUAAAGCUCUGUUGUUAAAGAAGAACGUGGGUGAGAGUAACUGUUCACCCAGUGACGGUAUUUAACCAGAAAGCCACGGCUAACUA
rnacentral:rRNA from 1 species